rnacentral:tRNA from 2 species
GAUGAAGUAAGCUAAAUAAGCUAUCGGGCCCAUACCCCGGAAAUGUCGGUUACAACCCCCCUUCAUCA